AUAACCAUCUUUUUGUGAAGGAAAAAGCUCUGAUUUAUAGUGUAUUUUCAUGAUAUAAAUACUCUGAUCAUGGCCUGUCAAUGGGAUGCUACUGAAUAGGAGGCAGGGAAGAAAUGUCACACUUGGCUCUCUUGAGCUGGUAGGAGCCAGCUCCAGCUUACCACUGAUUAAACACUUAAAACCAUAUUUUAAGUCACUGGCCAGUUGAUAUCACAUAAAAUGUAAAGUAUAGGUGUUUAUUCAUUUUGAAAUGCCUUGGUAUUUCAGGUGCUAAAAUGAUGUAUUUUCUGGACAAGUCAAGGCAGGAGAAAGCAAUUGCUAUAGCCACUAGACUAGAUGAAACUAUAAAAGAUAAAGAUGUAAAGACAUUAAUAAAGGUUUCUGAAGCACUGCUUGAUGGCGGCUUUGGGAACUGUAGUUCCCAAUAUGAAGAAUAUAGGAUGGCCUGUCAUAACCUGCUUCCUUUUACAUCUGCCUUCUUGCCUGCUGUGAAUGAAGUCGACAAUCCUAAUGUGGCACUGAACCAUACAGCUAAUUAUGAUGUCUUGGCAAAUGAAAUUUGAAAUCUUCUAGAAAGUAGACUCCUAUAGACUCAAAGCUGAAUUGAGAUCAGGGUUUCUUUUCCAGGGUGCAUUUUAAUAUACGUAUGAAAUGAAAUAUUUGGUUAGGAUUUUUAAAUGGCAUAUUCUGUAAGCUUAUUUUGUUCUUUACCUGACCUGCCAGUUUACAUAACCAUCUGUUAAAAUUACCUGUUUAUUCUUACAGUUUUGU
rnacentral:sRNA from 1 species